AAAUACCAUCUCAGUAAUUGAGCCACACCAGUAUAACUGUUACUCCGGCCACAAAAAAGAAAGCUCACCCGAUACAUAGUUAAGAGGGAUUCAAAGUGAACGAAGGCUGGCCUGUCAAAAGCGCUCCCGGUGGGCUUAAGAGACCGUAACGAUUCUCCAUCAGCGAAUGACAAGCAAUAAGCGAGACGCUUUGCAAAGGCCGAGGCUUAGGCGAUUUGUUAGCAACAGUUUAACCGUGUAUGUAUUUAACCGAAUUGUCCUUGUCUCAUUCCAGUUGGCCGCCCUGAUAUACCAUGGCAAAGAGAGAGAGAGAGAGAGAGAGAGAGAGAGAGAGAUAGGCAGUUCCCGCAUCGAUAUCGUGUGGUUUCAGGGAAGAAGCGGAUGCAGAGGAAGAAUCGGAAGACCAGUGGGAGGCUCUGCUGGUGACGCAAGACGCUGACAACCAGCUACGGUUGGUGAACAGGGCUCGGGCGGCGGCAGCGAGCCAUGGCUACCUGGACUGAGGAGGCCACCCACCUUUGGGCUCAAGAAGCCUGGUCUAGCAAUAAAGUUUAUUUCUCUCUCACUCCAUGGCGAUGGAUGGAGGUUAGAGCGUAGGCUCUU